CUGAGCUGGUGAUGUUAUGAAGUUAUCCCUGUCUGAAAAAAAAAAUGUGGAAUGAGAACUUUCUGAAGCUUGG